AACCAGUUAGCCUUGUGAAUAAGGCUUUGGAUUGUCAAUCCGAAGACAGCGGGUGCGAUUCCCGUUCCGGUCG
rfam:Aedes albopictus isolate Foshan contig65226, whole genome shotgun sequence.